rnacentral:rRNA from 1 species
GGAGGAAAGCAGGGGAUCGUAAGACCUUGCGUUAAUGGAGCGGCCGAUAUCUGAUUAGCUUGUUGGUGAGGUAAAGGCUCACCAAGGCGACGAUCAGUAGCUGGUUUGAGAGAACGACCAGCCACACUGGGACUGAGACACGGUCCAGACUCCUACGGGAGGCAGCAGUGGGGAAUUUUGGACAAUGGGGGCAACCCUGAUCCAGCCAUUCCGCGUGAGUGAAGAAGGCCUUCGGGUUGUAAAGCUCUUUCGCAAGGGAAGAAAACUUAUGAUCGAAUAAAUCAUGAGGUUGACGGUACCUUGAUAAGAAGCACCGGCUAACUACGUGCCAGCAGCCGCGGUAAUACGUAGGGUGCGAGCGUUAAUCGGAAUUACUGGGCGUAAAGCGUGCGCAGGCGGUUUUGUAAGUCGGAUGUGAAAUCCCCGGGCUCAAUCUGGGAACUGCGUUUGAAACUACAAGGCUAG